rnacentral:rRNA from 1 species
AUGAACGCUGGCGGCGUGCUUUACACAUGCAAGUCGAGCGAGGCGUGUAGCAAUACACAGUCGAGCGGCGAACGGGUGAGUAACGCGUGGAUAACCUGCCCAGAGGUGGGGAAUAACCCGGGGAAACUCGGGCUAAUACCGCAUGACACCGAGAGGUCAAAGAGGGGCGCAAGUCUCUUGCCACUGGAGGGGUCCGCGUUCGAUUAGCUAGUUGGUAGGGUAAUGGCCUACCAAGGCGACGAUCGAUAGCCGGCCUGGGAGGGUGAUCGGCCACACUGGAACUGAGACACGGUCCAGACUCCUACGGGAGGCAGCAGUGGGGAAUUUUGCGCAAUGGGCUAACGCCUGACGCAGCAACGCCGCGUGGAGGAUGAAGGUCCUUGGAUUGUAAACUCCUGUCAGCAGGGAGAAAGCGAUAGGGCCUAAUACGUCUUAGAGUUGAUUGUACCUGCAGAGGAAGCCCCGGCUAACUCUGU